rnacentral:rRNA from 1 species
ACGAACGCUGGCGGCGUGCCUAAUACAUGCAAGUCGAGCGAGCGGAACUAACAGAUUUACUUCGGUAAUGACGUUAGGAAAGCGAGCGGCGGAUGGGUGAGUAACGCGUGGGGAACCUGCCCCAUAGUCUGGGAUACCACUUGGAAACAGGUGCUAAUACCGGAUAAGAAAGCAGAUCGCAUGAUCAGCUUUUAAAAGGCGGCGUAAGCUGUCGCUAUGGGAUGGCCCCGCGGUGCAUUAGCUAGUUGGUAAGGUAAAGGCUUACCAAGGCGAUGAUGCAUAGCCGAGUUGAGAGACUGAUCGGCCACAUUGGGACUGAGACACGGCCCAAACUCCUACGGGAGGCAGCAGUAGGGAAUCUUCCACAAUGGACGCAAGUCUGAUGGAGCAACGCCGCGUGAGUGAAGAAGGUUUUCGGAUCGUAAAGCUCUGUUGUUGGUGAAGAAGGAUAGAGGUAGUAACUGGCCUUUAUUUGACGGUAAUCAACCAGAAAGUCACGGCUAACUACGUGCCAGCAGCCGCGGUAAUACGUAGGUGGCAAGCGUUGUCCGGAUUUAUUGGGCGUAAAGCGAGCGCAGGCGGAAGAAUAAGUCUGAUGUGAAAGCCCUCGGCUUAACCGAGGAACUGCAUCGGAAACUGUUUUUCUUGAGUGCAGAAGAGGAGAGUGGAACUCCAUGUGUAGCGGUGGAAUGCGUAGAUAUAUGGAAGAACACCAGUGGCGAAGGCGGCUCUCUGGUCUGCAACUGACGCUGAGGCUCGAAAGCAUGGGUAGCGAACAGGAUUAGAUACCCUGGUAGUCCAUGCCGUAAACGAUGAGUGCUAAGUGUUGGGAGGUUUCCGCCUCUCAGUGCUGCAGCUAACGCAUUAAGCACUCCGCCUGGGGAGUACGACCGCAAGGUUGAAACUCAAAGGAAUUGACGGGGGCCCGCACAAGCGGUGGAGCAUGUGGUUUAAUUCGAAGCAACGCGAAGAACCUUACCAGGUCUUGACAUCUAGUGUCAUUUGUAGAGAUACAAAGUUCCCUUCGGGGACGCUAAGACAGGUGGUGCAUGGCUGUCGUCAGCUCGUGUCGUGAGAUGUUGGGUUAAGUCCCGCAACGAGCGCAACCCUUGUUAUUAGUUGCCAGCAUUAAGUUGGGCACUCUAAUGAGACUGCCGGUGACAAACCGGAGGAAGGUGGAGAUGACGUCAAGUCAUCAUGCCCCUUAUGACCUGGGCUACACACGUGCUACAAUGGGCAGUACAACGAGAAGCGAGCCUGCGAAGGCAAGCGAAUCUCUGAAAGCUGUUCUCAGUUCGGACUGCAGUCUGCAACUCGACUGCACGAAGCUGGAAUCGCUAGUAAUCGCGGAUCAGCACGCCGCGGUGAAUCCGUUCCCGGGCCUCGUACACACCGCCCGUCACACCAUGGGAGUCUGCAAUGCCCAAAGCCGGUGGCCUAACCUUCGGGAAGGAGCCGUCUAAGGCAGGGCAGAUGACUGGGGUGAAG